rnacentral:rRNA from 1 species
CCAGCACCUAGUGCUGGCUGUCCUACUGUCUAAAUAACAGUGGUUAGCAAGGGCCGGGCAAGACCGGUGCCAGCCGCCGCGGUAACACCGGCGGCCCGAGUGGUAACCGUUUUUAUUGGGUUUAAAGGGUCCGUAGCCGGCUUACUAAGUCUCUUGGGAAAUCUGGCGGCUCAAUCGUCAGGCGGCCAAGAGAUACUGGUAGGCUUGGGACCGGGAGAGGUGGAGGUACUCCAGGGGUAAGGGUGAAAUCUCGUAAUCCUUGGGGGACCACCGAUGGCGAAGGCAUCCCACCAGAACAGGUUCGACGGUGAGGAACGAAAGCUGGGGGCACGAACCGGAUUAGAUACCCGGGUAGUCCCAGCUGUAAACGAUGCUCGCUAGGUGUCAGGUGCGGUGCGACCGCAUCUGGUGCCGCAGUGAAAACUUGAAGCGAGUCACCUGGGAAGUACGGUCGCAAGGCUGAAACUUAAAGGAAUUGGCGGGGGAGCAC